AAGUCAGAUGUGAAAGCCCCGGGCUUAACCUGGGACCUGCAUUUGAAACUGGUCAACUAGAGUAUGGUAGAGGAAAGUGGAAUUUCUGGUGUAGCGGUGAAAUGCGUAGAUAUCAGAAGGAACAUCAAUGGCGAAGGCAGCUUUCUGGACCAAUACUGACGCUGAGGUACGAAAGCGUGGGUAGCAAACAGGAUUAGAUACCCUGGUAGUCCACGCCGUAAACGAUGAUAACUAGCCGUUGGGGGGAUUUACCCUUUAGUGGCGAAGCUAACGCGUUAAGUUAUCCGCCUGGGGAGUACGGCCGCAAGGUUAAAACUCAAAUGAAUUGACGG
rnacentral:rRNA from 1 species